AAGUUGUUCUUGGCCAAAAACAUCAAUCAGCCUCAUCUCCAGAGUGAUCCUCCAAACUCAGGGAGAAUUGCAGUGAAUGACAGUUCCUGUUUCUCAACAUCAUUGUCAGCAUUUGGUGCUGUCAGUGUUCUAGAUUUUGACCAUUGUAAUAGUCAUCCUCCUUAGCCACCUCAUGAGUGCAUUGAAGAGGAUGACCUGCUUAGUUAUUCUGCUUCCCGAAUACAAAAAAUUAGCCUUCUGAAAUCAAACAUAAGAAGUCAUUGUUGCUUUUAUUCCAGAGACUAGGUCUCGCUGUGUUUCCCAGGCAGGUCUCUAACUACUGGGCUCAAGUGCUCUGUCUGCUGCAGCCUCCCAAAGUGAUGAGAUUAGAGGCAUUAGCCACCCCACCCAGCCUCAACCAAGGAGUCUUGCUCAGUCGCCUCGGCUGGAGUGCAGUGGCACCAUCUCGGCUCACUGCAACUUCCACCUGCUGGAUUCAAGUGAUUCUCUUACCUCAGCUUCCCGAGUAGCUGGGAUUACAGGCACCUGCCACCACGCCCGGCUAAUUUUUUUGGAUUUUAAAUAGAGACAGGAUUUCACCAUGUUGGGCAGGCAGGUCUUGAACCCCUUACCUCAAAUGAUUCACUUGCCUUGGCCUCCCAAAGUGCUGCAAUUACAGGCAUGAGCCACCUCGCCCGGCCAAGAUGUACUAAUUUAAACAAAUAUUUAUAUUGAUCAUCAUAGUACAUCCAUCUUUGUUGGAUGUACUAAUACCACAAUAUAAAUUGAUAAUAUUAAAUAUUACCAAUUCUAUCAGACUGUCAGAUGUUCAGACAUCUGAAGUCUUUGUUGGUAUCAC
rnacentral:lncRNA from 1 species